GAUGAACGCUGGCGGUGUGCUUAACACAUGCAAGUCGAACGGUCACUUCGGGUAUAUUCGCGGACGACGGUGUAGCGCGUGAGAAUCUAUCUUCAUGGCGGGGACAACUGUUAGAAAUGGCUACUAAUACCAGAUGUGCCGUAAGGUCAAAGAUUUAUUGCCUGCACAAGAGCUCGAGUCAGAUUAGCUAGUAGGUGGUGUAAGAGACUACCUAGGCUUCGCUCUGUAUCUGGUCUGAGAGGACGAUCAGCCACACUGGAACUGAGACACGGUCCAGACUCCUACGGGAGGGAGCAGUGGGGAAUGGACCGAAACGGGCUAAGGGCUGACGGUGCAAUACCGCGAGAACGCUGAAGGCUCGUGGGUAGUAAACUUCUUGUCUCAAGGAAGAUUCAGACGGUACUUGAGGAAUAAGCAACGGCUAACUCCGUG
rnacentral:rRNA from 1 species